rnacentral:misc_RNA from 1 species
UCUCCGUUGGUGAACCAGCGGAGGGAUCAUUAUAGAGUUUUUAACUCCCAAACCCAUGUGAACCUACUAUUUUGUUGCCUCGGCGGGUUCUGCCUCCCAUCUCGGGAGCAGGCUCAAGCCCGCCGGUGGCCCAACUAAACUCUUGUUUUGUAUGGCCUAUCAGAAAUACUAUCUAAUAGUUAAAACUUUCAGCAACGGAUCUCUUGGUUCUGGCAUCGAUGAAGAACGCAGC